AAUUAUUAGCACCUAAUAAGCACAGUGACAGAGGGACCCGAGGCUUUUUUUCGGGGGAUGACUGAAGCUAUCACCUUGCUAAUCCUUGCUGUCCAAACUGGCCUCAUUGAGCUGCAGGUCAUCCACAGAGCCAGUAUAAUGACAUCUGUGCUAUCUGCUUCCAGGACAUGACCAGUGCUGUGUUCACUCCGUGCAGUCAUUUCUUCCACGCUGGCUGUCUGAUGCCCUCUCUGUCGUUCACAACCAAGAGCGAAUCACCAACUAACGGUGGAGCUACCCAAGGUACACCUGCAGCCAAUCAGAACCCUGCAGGACAGGAAGAAGGCACUCUACUGGAUGACAGGAAAGAGGGAGCGUCAGUAAAGCAGGAGGGAGAUAAUGAAACUGCCACAUCAGCUGGGGAAACCUCCUCUUCCACCUCCCCCACUGGCAUGUCUGCUCCCCUGCCCAUCGUCAAACCUCCAUUAUCAUCUUCCUCUUGUUCUUCUUCUCCUCUUGCAACUGAUUCUGUGCUGCACCAGUCCCCUGCAGAUCACCCUUCUGCAUCUUCUUUCUCUACCUCUUACACAUCAGACACACCCGACGCUCCUGCAUCUCUCUGCCAUUCUGUCUCCACCUUUCACCAACCAACUUCACAGGUACUGACCUAAGCAGAGGCGAACCCUGCUAAACCCGAAU